CAAGGCCAGCUGAAUACUUGAAAUAAAGAUAGAAAUAAAUAAAUCAGUGGUGAGUGGUUGGCACGUUCGCCUCACACCUCCAGGGUCGGGGGUUCGAUUCCCGCCGUGGCCCUGUGUGUGCGCCGAGUUUGAAUGGUCUCCCAUGCUGCGGGGGUUCCCUCCGGGUACUCCGGUUUCCUCCCCCAGUCCAAUAUGUAGCGAUUACCGAUAUGCAGAUAUGUAAACCGUUGAGUGAACGCCAACAAACAAACAAAAUAAUAGAGAUAAUGCGCUUGAUGCACGCCUUCCUUGUACCCUGAGAGACGGUGGGACCAGCCGAACGGUGCUAGAGGACCGGUGACCAGUCGAGCGGUGCUAGAGGACCGGUGACCAGUCGAGCGCUGCUAGAGGACCGGUGACCAGUCGAGCGGUGCUAGAGGACCGGUGACCAGUCGAGCGGUGCUAGAGGACCGGUGACCAGUCGAGCGGUGCUAGAGGACCGGUGACCAGCCGAGCGCUGCUAGAGGACCGGUGACCAGCCGAGCGGUGCUAGAGGACCGUGACCAGUCGAGCGCUGCUAGAGGACCGGUGACCACUCGAGCGCUGCUAGAGGACCGGUGACCACUCGAGCCGCUGCUAGAGGACCGGUGACCAGCCGAGCGCUGCUAGAGGACCGGUGACCAGCCGAGCGCUGCUAGAGGACCGGUGACCACUCGAGCGCUGCUAGAGGACCGGUGACCAGCCGAGCGGUUCUAGAGGACCGGUGACCAGCCGAGCGGUGCUAGAGGACCGGUGACCAGCCGAGCGCUGCUAGAGGACCGGUGACCAGUCGAGCCGUGCUAGAGGACCGGUGACCAGCCGAGCGCUGCUAGAGGACCGGUGACCACUCGAGCGCUGCUAGAGGACCGGUGACCAGUCGAGCGCUGCUAGAGGACGGGUGACCACUCGAGCGCUGCUAGAGGACCGGUGACCAGCCGAGCCGUGCUAGAGGUUCGGUGACCACUCGAGCGAUGCUAGAGGACCGGUGACCAGUCGAGCGGUGCUAGAGGAUCGGUGACCAGUCGAGCCGUGCUAGAGGAUCGGUGCAGUGCGGGGUAUGAUAAGUGAUUCGUGCUAAGCGUGUGCUGGUCCGUUUUUGGCUUUGUAGGCAAGCAUCAGUGUUUUAUAUCUGAUGCUACAGGAAGCAAGUGGACGGAGCGUCGCGAUGGGGUAGUGUGGAAAACUUAGGAAGGUUGAAAGUCACACAGCUGCAUUCUGGAUCAGUCGCAGAGGUCGAUUGGCGCUCAGAGGCAGACCUGCCAGGUGUGACUUGCAGUAAUCCAGUCUGGAAAUGACAGAGAGACCGAACCGGCAUCUGAGUGGCCUGUAUGGAUAAAAAAGGACGAAUCCUUCUGAUGUUGUAACGGAGAACUCGACAUGAGCGUGUCAGAUUAGCAAUGCUAAAUAGCUAA
ensembl:lncRNA